rnacentral:rRNA from 1 species
UACGUAGGGCGCAAGCGUUAUCCGGAAUUAUUGGGCGUAAAGAGCUCGUAGGCGGUUUGUCGCGUCUGCUGUGAAAGACCGGGGCUCAACUCCGGAUCUGCGGUGGGUACGGGUAGACUAGAGUGAUGUAGGGGAGACUGGAAUUCCUGGUGUAGCGGUGAAAUGCGCAGAUAUCAGGAGGAACACCGAUGGCGAAGGCAGGUCUCUGGGCAUUAACUGACGCUGAGGAGCGAAAGCAUGGGGAGCGAACAGG